rnacentral:misc_RNA from 1 species
GAAAUGCGAUAAGUAAUGUGAAUUGCAGUAUUCAGUGAAUCAUCGAAUCUUUGAACGCACAUUGCGCCCGCCAGCACUCUGGCGGGCAUGCCUGUUCGAGCGUCAUUUCAACCCUCAGAACCCCUUGCGGGAUCUGGCGUUGGGGAUUGGCAUCCAGCCAGCCUCGAAAUCUAGUGGCGGUCCCUCCGCGACCUCCCCUGUGCAGUAGCGAUACCUCGCAGCGGGACAGCGGUCUGACCACGCCGUAAAACCCCCAACUUCUCAAGGUUGACCUCGAAUCAGGUAGGAAUACCCGCUGAACUUAAGC